CAGAACGAACGCUGGCGGCAGGCCUAACACAUGCAAGUCGAGCGCGCCCUUCGGGGUGAGCGGCGGACGGGUUAGUAACGCGUGGGAAUAUGCCCAAAGGUACGGAAUAGCCUCUGGAAACGGAGAGUAAUACCGUAUGUGCCCUUCGGGGGAAAGAUUUAUCGCCUUUGGAUUAGCCCGCGUUAGAUUAGGUAGUUGGUGGGGUAAUGGCCUACCAAGCCUACGAUCUAUAGCUGGUUUUAGAGGAUGAUCAGCAACACUGGGACUGAGACACGGCCCAGACUCCUACGGGAGGCAGCAGUGGGGAAUCUUGGACAAUGGGGGCAACCCUGAUCCAGCCAUGCCGCGUGAGUGAUGAAGGCCUUAGGGUCGUAAAGCUCUUUCGCCUGUGAAGAUAAUGACGGUAGCAGGUAAAGAAACCCCGGCUAACUCCGUGCCAGCAGCCGCGGUAAUACGGAGGGGGUUAGCGUUGUUCGGAAUUACUGGGCGUAAAGCGCACGUAGGCGGAUCGGAAAGUUGGGGGUGAAAUCCCGGGGCUCAACCCCGGAACUGCCUCCAAAACUAUCGGUCUAGAGUUCGAGAGAGGUGAGUGGAAUUCCGAGUGUAGAGGUGAAAUUCGUAGAUAUUCGGAGGAACACCAGUGGCGAAGGCGGCUCACUGGCUCGAUA
rnacentral:rRNA from 1 species